GGUUUACUAGCUUCAUCCGGUUUUGAAGUGUCGGCAUGGUGUACAAGCCUGUUGACGGGAUAUCUCAUAACUGAAACCAUGAACAACAAGUGCUUCGGUUAUGGUGUUGGCGAUCCAUUGCUUGAGGCGACAUCGUGUGCAAGAUUAUUCUUGUGGAGGCCACUGGCACAGUGGCACCCUCCUCGGUCUGCUGAUCCCAUUACCCAGGUUGCGUGUUGCGCCUAAAUGUUGGAUAUAUGGUGAUCUGGUAAUGCCGAUUUGGGAAAGCAGGUGUACAAUGUGUGUAAAUUAAGAAAACAAUUUAUAAUCUGUGAUGUGAUCACUGCAUUUUAAUUUAGUAUAUGCGAUCCCCUCAAGUAGGGAAGUAUUGAAUGCACCUCUCUGGCAAGUGCACGCAUAAGGGUACCAUUUUUUACUCAAUCGAUUUCAAAGCAAGGCAUGAGACUGACAUACACUCUUUAAUUGCAUCGUGUAAAGAUAUGUGGUGUGAGGGGAAGGAGAAA